UUGAACGCUGGCGGCAUGCCUUACACAUGCAAGUCGAACGGUAGAGGGGCAACCCUUGAGAGUGGCGAACGGGUGAGUAAUAUAUCGGAACGUGCCCAGUCGUGGGGGAUAACGCAGCGAAAGCUGCGCUAAUACCGCAUACGAUCUAUGGAUGAAAGCGGGGGAUCGCAAGACCUCGCGCGAUUGGAGCGGCCGAUAUCAGAUUAGGUAGUUGGUGGGGUAAAAGCCCACCAA
rnacentral:rRNA from 1 species